GGAUCCAUGAGUUCCCCAUCAAAACAUUCCUUGGAAAAGCUGAAAAUGAGUGAAACUCACUACCAUCUCGCUCAUUGGAACUGAGGUCC
ensembl:snoRNA SNORD116 Small nucleolar RNA SNORD116